GGAGGGGUGUCCGAGUGGUCUAUGGUGCCGCUCUUGAAAAGCGGUGUCCCGCAAGGGACCGUGGGUUCGAAUCCCACCCCCUCCGCCA
rnacentral:tRNA from 1 species